UCUCAGAGCUGGAAUGGCAGUUAAAAGGUCUAAAACCCUCCUUUCCAAGAAAGGAAACAGAGGCAGAAAGGAGAAGAGUGACUGACUUUCCUAGGGCCAUGAACCCCAUUAGUGUUAAAGCAAGGGACAGAAUUCUGGUACCCCUGACCCCUCAAGGCAGAUGGGCCUCAUAAGGAUUCCUACCAGGUGGCAGGCAGUUUGAGCUAAUGUGGACACACGGAGUCCAUGGAAACGGAUAACAAGUGAACAUGCCACUCACCGGGGUACCCUGUCCAAUUGCUGCUGCUGGAGAACUAGAAACCAUACGUGAGUGUUGACCACAUAGCCUUGCACCAUCCAGCUCGGCUUCUGGAGAACUAGGGACCACAUAGCCUUGCACCAUCCAGCUUGGUAGUUACUAGCCCUAUGUAUUGCUUUACAUGUAUUUUAUUUUCCUUGCUUUUUUAUCUUGUAAUCUGAUCAACCCAUUAGAAUUUGGAAAUUUUAGCAAAAGCAACCCAAGUCCUGAGUUUGUCCGUUUGUUUAGCUCAUGUCAAAAGGGGAAAUGGGAAAUUGGUUUCAUGGCAAUAGAAGGACAGGGAGAUGGUCUUAGGAACUGCAGACUUCAGGGACUCAAAUGAUGUCACGGCCACAAUUUAUCAUCGCCGUGAUACCCCCUUCUUGACUUUCUGGGCCCUGCGUAGUUUUUACUUGUACACUGGCUUCCUCUCCGAGCAAGACAUCUGACCUCUGGAGGCUUGCAUGGCUGUCUCCCUCCUCUGGGUCUGUUCCUUCCUUCAGGGAAAAGGGAGGGAGGAGUGGGGAGGGGGGCAGAGAGGAGGGAAGAGAAAGGCUUAUAAGCCUCGGGAAACUUAAUAAGGCUCCGGAGUUGAGGUUCCCCUCCACCCACAAGUUGCACAGAGAGCUCCGAGCUCCUCCGGUGACUCAGCUUUUGUGAGUCAUCACCCAUGCUAGGUGACAAAUAUUCCUGAGUCACCCCCACUCCUGUUAAGCGACCAUUAUUAAACUUAUUGGUUCAUCAAGCUGAACUUGGGAGGGGCCAUUCGUUGGGCUCUGUUGUUGGUGC
rnacentral:lncRNA from 1 species